GAUGAAGAACGCAGCGAAAUGCGAUAAGUAAUGUGAAUUGCAGAAUUCAGUGAAUCAUCGAAUCUUUGAACGCACAUUGCGCCCGCCAGUAUUCUGGAGGGCAUGCCUGUCUGAGCGUCAUUUCAACCCUCAUGCCCCUAGGGCGUGGUGUUGGGGAUCGGCCAAAGCCCGCGAGGGACGGCCGGCCCCUAAAUCUAGUGGCGGACCCGUCGUGGCCUCCUCUGCGAAGUAGUGAUAUUCCGCAUCGGAGAGCGACGAGCCCCUGCCGUUAAACCCCCAACUUUCCAAGGUUGACCUCAGAUCAGGUAGGAAUACCCGCUGAACUUAAGCAUAUCAAUAAGCGGAGGA
rnacentral:misc_RNA from 1 species